rnacentral:rRNA from 1 species
UAGAGGAAGUAAAAGUCGUAACAAGGUUUCCGUAGGUGAACCUGCGGAAGGAUCAUUAUGGAGCUGCACCCCAAUCAGCAAUGAUUGGACCGCCAUGGGGUGGGCCCCAGCGCCCCCCAGGCGGCUCAGUUUCUGCACACCCUCCCAGAGUACCUGUCCACGUUGCUUCCCUGGGGCUGCAGUGAAAACCUGCCCAGGCCCUCUGUCUCCCAACGUUGGGGGUCGGUGCCCUGGAGACACCCGGGGAAGGUCUCAGCCAAACCUUCAGCCUUAACCACUGUCUGACAGGCCACCGUGCCUUUGACCGCAAAAGCAAAAACUUUCAACAACGGAUCUCUUGGUUCUCGCAUCGAUGAAGAACGCAGCGAAAUGCGAUAAGUAAUGUGAAUUGCAGAAUUCAGUGAAUCAUCGAAUCUUUGAACGCACAUUGCGCCCCCUGGCAUUCCGGGGGGCAUGCCUGUUUGAGCGUCUCGUGCACCAAACCUCACGCUUGCUGUGGUGAUGGCUGAGGUGGGUUGCCCUCCCGGGCCCCACCCGGCCGAAAGCUAUUGGCGGGUGCCACCAGCAGCCAGUAUGUAGUAUGGAACGAAAGCCAUACGGGCCACGGCCUGGCACAUCCAGCCGAAGCCGCCAAUGCGGCCAGAACACAACCGCAUCCUCAAAUCA